AGAGAGGCCAGUGGGUGGCUGCAUCUGCUCAGGGCUCCGGCUGCCUUCCGAGCCGGGGGCGCUGGGCGAGCCGCAUGCAUGAUUCCCAGGUGCAACCCCUGUGUGGCCCUGCCUGGAAGACAUCUCUCCUUUGGGGAAGUUCAAACGCCUAGCGCACGGAUGCUGCUGGAGGGUUGUGGAGAAGGACACUGCCCUGGGGGGCACUCUGGAGCCGAGCAGAACCCUGUGGGACAUUUCCCAGACAGACCCCUCCCGGAUCUCCUCUGCUGUAGCUCCUCUCUGAAGUACCUAGAUAAUAAUAUCUGAUGCACAUUUCCUGAGUUUUUCAGAUGCUAAAACCACCACCAAAUGGAAGAAACUAACUAAUGGAUAAUCAUGAGCAUUUGCCCCCAGACCUUCUGGCGCCGAAGGAUCGAUAAGGUUAAUCCCUGUGAUGCUGCUCUGUUAUCUCGCCAUUAACCAAUCAGAGAAAUGUGCACAAGCUGAUCACAGACUCUGGGCUGCCCCGCC